UGGCAUCUAUGCUAACUUUGAGUGUGCACAACUAAGCAUUUAAACUAUCAUAAAAUUAAACAAAUAAACACAUCUAUCCUGCACGCAUCUUACAUGUUGAGAAAUACCACAUAGGAUGCAUGUGUUGAAGGACACAGAUAUGAGCUGAAGCUAAAUUAAAGGACACAAUUAAAGAACACAUCUACAUAUCAUGCCAAAUAUUUAUAUUAUACGAGCAAGUAUGAUAUGGACUCCAAGUUCUUUCUGUAUUAUAAUUCAAAGCAAGAAAAUGUGUGAAUGGAACUGCAAUGUCCUUAAGAUUCAGGCACUCCGACUGAAGCAUAACUAGGGACAAAGGCAGAUCCAAAAUUUUAAGUGUUAUCGAUUCAACUUUUAAGGGCUUAAACAUUGAACUCACUAUAUUCUUAAAAUUAUGGGUUCAUAUCUAUACUAUUUAAUACAACUUUUGUAAAUUUUUACAUAUAAAUUAUGCUCUGCAUAGGUAGGCUACUGCAUCCGCCUAUGAUUAGGGAGCGUUAAAGAGUGUUCAUUCUCUAGCUGUUUAAACUUUUAGAUGAGUCAGAUUAAUACAAUUCAAAUAAAAUCAAAAUUGAUAAGCAUCAACAUUGUGCUACAACAUUAAGCUCAAGUAGGGGGCAAAAUCCUUCUAUUACUUUUGUGUUCUGUUUCCCCUAACAUGAGUUCACCAGCAGAGGUAGUUAACGAGAGACAUUAGCAAUCCGAUGCUUGCACGCAAGGAUAUGAUACAAUUAAGUUGAUACUGUUCAACUUUUCCUAUCUGACUUUAUCAACAAUAUAACGUUUUUCAGUUUACACGAGGCAGUUGUACUCGUAAAGCGGAAGCUUAGUGCACCGAGAUGUCCUUUUUAGUUGUGCAUGUUGAUAAAAGGGCAUGUAAGCUCAACUUGAUUAGGGCACAGUAACUCUGCCUACUCAAUAUCCUUAACAGCGUCCUGCGUAGGUGAAGAACGCGCAAGUUACAACCGAUUAAUCAUAAAGUACAAAGCUUUCAUGACGGAGAUAGAAAAAGUAUUGCUCCAACAUAUGCGCAUAUCAGAACAAAGAAGAUCCACUAUGAGCAUAGCGUAACUGAAAAUGAUUAGCGUUACCUUGGCGAGCCGCGUUACAUAAGCAGCAGCAAGUGCUGUAAACAAUAAACCAACCCCAAGGGUCAAUAGCUGGUUUCCUCCUCCUAGGCUAAUUUCAGAUCCUUCUUGCUGGAACAUCAAGAAAUACAAGAACAUUGAUGGGGUUGCUGAAUUCCUUGAGAUAAGUUCAGAACUUCCCAAAUGAAAACUUUAAAAGUUUCAAGUCAAGGACGAAAAAGCCGCAAACUACGAUAAUCCCAAUUUGAACAAAUUAGCAACAGAUGAAUAGCUGUACAGCUAAUCAAUAGCACACAAUAAUACGUCUGAAUUUGGAUCUCGCAAGGCCAAUACACUAUUUUUGUUUUUAUAGUCCUUUAGAAUCAAAUCAGAAUAGUUGAUGGGUACUUAAUCUCGAC
rnacentral:lncRNA from 1 species